UACGUAGGGUGCAAGCGUUGUCCGGAAUUAUUGGGCGUAAAGGGCUCGUAGGCGGUCCGUCACGUCGGGAGUGAAAACUUGGGGCUUAACCCCAAGCCUGCUUCCGAUACGGGCAGGCUAGAGUUCGGUAGGGGAGACUGGAAUUCCUGGUGUAGCGGUGAAAUGCGCAGAUAUCAGGAGGAACACCGAUGGCGAAGGCAGGUCUCUGGGCCGAUACUGACGCUGAGGAGCGAAAGCGUGGGGAGCGAACAGG
rnacentral:rRNA from 1 species